rnacentral:rRNA from 1 species
UACGUAGGGUGCAAGCGUUGUCCGGAAUCAUUGGGCGUAAAGAGCGUGUAGGCGGCUUGGUAGGUCCGCUGUGAAAACUCGAGGCUCAACCUCGAGAUGUCGGCGGAAACCACUUGGCUAGAGUCCGGAAGAGGAGAGUGGAAUUCCCGGUGUAGCGGUGAAAUGCGCAGAUAUCGGGAAGAACACCUAUGGCGAAGGCAGCUCUCUGGGACGGUACUGACGCUGAGACGCGAAAGCGUGGGGAGCAAACAGG